GGGCAACAANUUCCACCUGGCUUACCUUUUCAGUCUUGUGUCAUUGCUUGUAUCGCAUUGAAUGCAUGGUGGGUUUCUUGUGUUGCAUGCCUAAUUGAUGGUAUCAUUUCAAGAAUUGAUGUCCCUUUUCAUCUUGUGUUGCACAUGCGAUGUGAGAUGAACCUUGAAGUAGCCUUUGUGAUCCACUCUUUCGAUGUACACGCAUUGAUUUUGUGGCCCACUGUGUGUUGCUUGGUCUCAUGGAUAUGGAACCUGGUGUGGGCAUGGGAUCUUUACUAGUUCCUUGUUUGCCCUGGUUUAGCUUUUCUAAUACGAUUGUUUAUCACAUUUUAUAAUGUGGUAGGCUAUAUCGGAUAUGAGUGCUACCUGGUUGAUCCUGCC
rnacentral:misc_RNA from 1 species